UGUCUGAUGCAGUAAAAAUGUGGGUUCGAAUCCCAGCUCUUCUCUUUUAUUUCAGAAUUAGGCACGAAACACUCUUUAUAUUCUAGCCGGAAACCAUGCCUUACCUGUCUAUCUCAGUGGCUCAUUGAUAAAGCGUUAGACUUUUAUCUUGGAGUCCUGGGUUCAAAUCUCACUAUUGCUUAUUGUUGUGGAUAGAUCAAACAAAGUGUGCCAAACACCUCCUCUCAGCGUGAAAGCCACGAUGGCACUACUGGCUAAACACCGUUGGUUGCGGACAAGGUUACGGAUGCAGCAUGGGUUCGAAACCCACCUAAGAACAUACCUGGGGCGGUAAGACGAAUAAGAGGGCAAGUAACUGAGGCUCAAGAGUAAAUGAGCACAAUGUGAAACACGGACCAGAGUACAAUGUGAAACACGGACCAGAGCACAAACAUGACUUGCGCGGUAAAGCAAAUGGCAGCGGAUAACAAACCUGGGGCGGUAAAACAGAGAUGAGUGAGGUAGGCCGGACUAAGAUAAGGUGAAGGCGGGUCAGAAAGAUGGCGUGGAGAAGUGAGGUGGAUUGGGGAGGAGAGAGAGGUGGAAGAGGAGGAGAAAAAACUUUUUUUUUUUCAAAAAAUCUUUUUUUUUUUGGAAAAAAUUCCAACAGUUUGCAACACCGUGGUGAUUCGAACCCCGGUCUCCUGUGAUCAGUCAAGCUCUCACACCAUGAGCACUGACCACUAGGCCACGAGGAUCUCACACAAACAACUGUUCGUUUGUUAUAUUUAUAGAAAACGUGAAAUCACGUUAUUUGAAAAAAAAAAAAGAAAGAAACCACAUAUUGGUUAAAAUUUUCACUUUUAAAAGUUCUUAUCUCUAAUAUAAGGCCGAAUAAACAGAGAAUAGUGAAAUAAAUCAUAUAUCGCACAUUAUAAAGGGUCAAAUCAAUUCUGGGUAAGGAAAAAAUGCUUAAUUUAAGUUAGACUAUAUUUAUAAACAUAUUUAAAAAUUAUAGAAACCCUAUUAAAAUCACCCCAAAACAUUACUUUACAAAACAAAAUAUAAUGCAACAAUAAGACAGACAGGAUAAAUGCUAGAACUGAUCACUCAGUGGAUGCUUCUGCUUCUGUUUAUGGUCCACAGCCAUUUUAUUAUUUAUAUUUUCAUUUAUUAAAUGAAAUUGAGGGUAAAACAACAUUUUCACUAUUUAUCUGACAGUAAACAAUGUAGGACUUUAAUAGUCAUUAGCUGCUAGUUUCACUAUUUAAAUGUGCAAGGAUUGCAAAGUUGGUGUGUAUGUAAAAACAAUUUUACCUCAAUCAGGUGACAAGGUGUCUAAUAUCACAAAGCUCAUAAAGGUGUCAUAAAGAAGCAGAAGCAUCAGAGAUUCAGACAUCUUUUAACUCAGAAAAUAAGCUUAUUCAAUGUCUACACCACACUAAAACACCAGCAGAGAAAAACACAACUGCUUAUUGAGUGUACCUAAGCUUUAGAAGAAUCACCAUCCUGAAUUCACAUAACAAGGUUCUCAUCAAGAACAACAUGUAAACAAAGUACGUUUUAAACCGUCGUAAAAUGCAAUAUAAUGAGCGCUAACGAGUUUAAAAGAGAAACGGAGUAAUUGUGUGAAGUUACUUACAGGUGAGUCGCGUGACAUCCUUGAUGCUUGACAACAGCGUGUCGUUUGUGCUGCUGAGCUGAAAUACAUGUUGUUGAGUGACAGUCUGUAACUGAGCUGUCAUCUGCAGUAACUGUAAUUUAAUGGCCUUAAAGCAUAAAUAAUCAGUCGUGUCGAGGCGGCUGUCAUCAGUGUCAUGUUGUUGAUGAGGCUCUAAAGGUGUCACAGUCACGCUGAACGUCAAAGCCGCAGACGCCGCCUAGUGGAGCGGAAGUGAAUCAGUGUCAGUAGUUUUAAUGCAUGAAAACAAACUAGAAGUGUGUCGUUGGAGACGGGAUGCGUUUUAAGUUGUAUAUAUUAUAAAUUACGUCUGUGAUCUUCCUUAAAUUGUCUCAAACAGCAGAUAAGAAUUUAACCUAACGGAUGAUCAGCUUCUCAACAGAAGGGACUAAAGGAUGUGUGUGGAGCAUCACACACAUCCAGCAGAGGCAUGUGGACAGACAUCGACUAUGAUGAUGCUCAUCUGCUGAAGGACAGGCAAAAGCAAAACUGCUGGACACAGUUCUAGAGCUCAGAUUGGAUGCUACAACCCCAAACGCCUUCUCACUCACUGUUCAACUGUUGUGUUCCCUGUAUUUAUACAAAAAACUGCUGAAGUUCCAGGCCCAAAAUGCUGAGUUUGGUCUUGAGUUGCUCAGAGCCAGACAAAACCUCAUCUUCAUCUACGCAGCGGAGCCACCAUCCACGGCUUUCAUGUUGAGUGCUGCUGUUGGAGACACUUUUUAAUGUAAUUUGUGUUUAUACAGCGCAUUUGUCAUGUAUGGCCAUACACCCAAAGCGCUUUACAGUCAUGAGGGGGGUCUCUCCACACCACCACCAGUGUGCAGCAUCCACUUGGAUGAUGCGACGGCAGCCAGAGGACAACGGCGCCAGUGCGCUCACCUCACACCAGCUAUAAGGGGGGUGGAGAGACAGUGAUAGAGCCAAUUCGGUGGAUGGGGAUGAUUGGGAGGCCAUGAUGGGUAAGCGCCAAUGGAGGGAAUUUGGCCAGGACACUUUGAUGGAUGUAAAGCAGCUUAAGGGUUUAACAUAAGCAAUAAAGGGAUUUGAACUCAGUACUCAAUGAGUAUCAUGAUUAAUGAUAUUAUAGUUUAUUAUUAUUAUUAUAUGUUAGUUUUUUUUAUUUUAACAAUAAUAUUUGAUUAGUUUUAAGAUUAGUAGUAAUAUUUGUUAGUUUCAUAUAUAGAUUAGCAGUUGUUUUGUUUUAGUUUUACAGAGUUAACAGAACAUGUCCACUGUCAACCAGAGCAUAGUUUAGUGACA